AUACGGAGGGUGCAAGCGUUAUCCGGAUUCAUUGGGUUUAAAGGGUGCGCAGGCGGACUUGUAAGUCAGUGGUGAAAUCCCGGGGCUCAACCUCGGAACUGCCAUUGAUACUGCAAGUCUUGAGUUUGGUUGAAGUGGGCGGAAUGUAGCAUGUAGCGGUGAAAUGCAUAGAUAUGCUACAGAACACCGAUCGCGAAGGCAGCUCACUAAACCAACACUGACGCUCAGGCACGAAAGCGUGGGGAGCGAACAGGAUUAGAUACCCCGGUAGUCC
rnacentral:rRNA from 1 species